GACAUAGGUGGAGUGAGAAACGCCGCCAGGCCUAUAAAAUGCUCAUCCUGUAGCGUUUACUCUAAAAGUUGCUUGGAAUGCUAUACAAAGUGUCGAAAAUGCAAACAGGAACGCGCCUCGUGCUGCUUUUCUGUCUCGCUGCGUUGGUGACAGUUUCCGCUGUUCCCAGCAGACCACAAUCGGCAAACUGCGCUGUGUACAUGCUUCCAUUUUGCACUCGAGAAUAUAUUCCUGUUUGUGGGGAUGACGGCCAGGAGUACAGCAACGAAUGCAUGCUGUGCCUUUGGAAUAUG